rnacentral:rRNA from 1 species
AACGCUAGCUACAGGCUUAACACAUGCAAGUCGAGGGGUAGCAGGGUAGCAAUACCGCUGACGACCGGCGCACGGGUGAGUAACACGUAUCCAACCUACCAUCCACACGGGGAUAGCCUUUCGAAAGAGAGAUUAAUACCCGAUAGUAUAACGAUAAGGCAUCUUAUUGUUAUUAAAGAAUUUCGGUGUUUGAUGGGGAUGCGUUCCAUUAGAUUGUUGGUGAGGUAACGGCUCACCAAGUCUUCGAUGGAUAGGGGUUCUGAGAGGAAGGUCCCCCACAUUGGAACUGAGACACGGUCCAAACUCCUACGGGAGGCAGCAGUGAGGAAUAUUGGUCAAUGGACGAGAGUCUGAACCAGCCAAGUAGCGUGAAGGAUGAAGGCCCUAUGGGUCGUAAACUUCUUUUAUAGGGGAAUAAAGUGCGGAACGUGUUCCGCUUUGUAUGUACCCUACGAAUAAGGAUCGGCUAACUCCGUGCCAGCAGCCGCGGUAAUACGGAGGAUCCGAGCGUUAUCCGGAUUUAUUGGGUUUAAAGGGAGCGUAGGUGGAUAUAUAAGUCAGUUGUGAAAGUUUGCGGCUCAACCGUAAAAUUGCAGUUGAUACUGUAUAUCUUGAGUGUACAAGAGGUGGGCGGAAUUCGUGGUGUAGCGGUGAAAUGCUUAGAUAUCACGAAGAACUCCGAUUG